rnacentral:rRNA from 1 species
UACAGAGGGUGCAAGCGUUGUUCGGAAUUAUUGGGCGUAAAGGGCGCGUAGGCGGUGCCACAAGUCACCUGUGAAAUCUCCGGGCUUAACUCGGAGCCUGCAGGCGAAACUGUGGUGCUGGAGUGUGGGAGAGGUGCGUGGAAUUCCCGGUGUAGCGGUGAAAUGCGUAGAUAUCGCUUGGAACGCCAAAGGUGAAAACAGGUUGCUGGGGUUGUGCCGACGCUGAGACACGAAAGCCAGGGGAGCAAACGGG